rnacentral:rRNA from 1 species
GACGAACGCUGGCGGCGUGCCUAAUACAUGCAAGUCGAACGCUGAAGGAGGAGCUUGCUUCUCCGGAUGAGUUGCGAACGGGUGAGUAACGCGUAGGUAACCUGCCUGGUAGCGGGGGAUAACUAUUGGAAACGAUAGCUAAUACCGCAUAAGAGUAGAUGUUGCAUGACAUUUGCUUAAAAGGUGCAAUUGCAUCACUACCAGAUGGACCUGCGUUGUAUUAGCUAGUUGGUGAGGUAACGGCUCACCAAGGCGACGAUACAUAGCCGACCUGAGAGGGUGAUCGGCCACACUGGGACUGAGACACGGCCCAGACGCCUACGGGAGGCAGCAGUAGGGAAUCUGCGGCAAUGGACGGAAGUCUGACCGAGCAACGCCGCGUGAGUGAAGAAGGAUGUCGGAUCGGAAAGCUCGGUUGUAAGAGAAGAACGAGUGUGAGAGUGGAAAGUUCACACUGUGACGGUAUCUUACCAGAAAGGGACGGCUAACUACGUG